UGUGAAUGUUGGCAGCAAAUGACCGUUCCUUACAGAGGGUUCUCUGUCUCCCCAAGUACCUGAAUGUGGUGACCUGGUGGCAUCAGGACAGUGUGGCUCAGCCCAGGAAGCCGGGGGAGAAGCCGCUGUCACUGAUGCUGUGGUUGCCUUUGGAGGUUGCCCUCACUUCCAGGCCAGCUGACCUUGCCUCCCCUGCUUCAGAGAAGUGCCUGCAAUCCUGAUGGGGAAUGUAGGCAUCUGCACCCUCGAAGUCCAGCUCUGACCUCAGUCCCUUCUGACACGGGACAGACUACGCCCAAGCAAGGUUUGAUGCCUAUUUCCACCAGAAGAGGAAGCUUGGGGUGUGACUGUGGGGAGGACUCCAUCCACCUCAUCACUGGACUGCAUGGGGAGGCAGCAGAGCGGGGUCCCCUCUGUGCUUCGACUACUGCUCCUGUGGCAGGAGGCUUUGGGUGGCUCACUACUGAACACGUGUAUGAUACUAAAGACGGUAUUAAAAUGGAGCGACGUUUAUUUCAUCUCUUGUUUACGAUUUCACUAGGACUCAGAAACGAGAUCGGGAAGCAGAAAUAUAGUGCAAUAGUGCAACAUCUCUGAAUCCUUUUAAUCUAGAGAAGGCAUUUCAUAUUUGGGGGCUAAGGUUUCCAGUCAGAUGAGGCAAACAGCAAGAGUAAGCAGUGUUACUUGCAGGUACUUUGGUUAAUGUUGAUUUAAAUUUUCAUGAAUGUGCUGGUGAACACUGUGACCAGGCUUUUGUAGAUGGCUAUGUGUUAUAGACGGUGCUCACUCCCAAGGGACGGCAAGUGAGCAGAGAUGUACUGCGAAGUCGCCAGUCACUGCUGCAAGGUGGCCUCUGCCUGGGGCCUCCGGAAGCUGCUCCUCUACCCUCUUGGUCCCAUGGCUGAAGCUGGAGCAGCGGAUUGCUCUGGAGCAGCCAAGGCCGCCUGCGUGUGGAGCAGAGCUCUCCCCUCCUGCUGGGCGUGUGUGACACUGAUGAGUUUCACUGUACUGCAUGUGACUUCUCCCCUGCCCUUCCUCCUGAUGGAGUGCAGACAGCCAUGCGUGGCCACGGGGGCAGUGUGAGGACCUCCGUGUCUCCCGGCUCCCCUCCCAGGGGAGCCAGCUGCUUGACCUAGCUCUUUGGGCCUCUCCUGCCCUCUGCUCUGCCUGGAGUGUCGGAUCCUGUGAGUAGGCUGGGCCGCCCCUGGGCAGGGUUCUCCAAGGGCCCGGUUUCCCGGCCCUUACCUUUCCUGAUGCCCCUGACAUCAUCAUUCUUGUGGGAGACAGCAGCCUGUAUGUGGUGUGGGGCGUGGAUCGAGUGUAGCUGUGAAAUCCAUAUAUAUGAAAUGUCCCGCGGGAUACAGUCUUAGCUGACUUUUUUUUACUCUGAACUCUGAAUUGUUUUUUGUGCAUAUAUUUCUGCUACCACAGAGAUUGUACUAUACAAAUAAAAAAAUAAAAACCCAACCUCAAGC
rnacentral:lncRNA from 1 species